rnacentral:rRNA from 1 species
GUGCCAGCAGCCGCGGUAAUACAGAGGGUGCGAGCGUUACUCGGAAUUACUGGGCGUAAAGGGUGCGUAGGUGGUUGAAUAAGUUAGGUGUGAAAGUCCUGGGCUUAACCUGGGGAUUGCGCCUAAUACUGUUUAACUAGAGUGCGGUAGAGGGAAGUGGAAUUUCCGGUGUAGCGGUGAAAUGCGUAGAUAUCGGAAGGAACAUCAGUGGCGAAGGCGACUUCCUGGACAGAAACUGACACUGAGGCACGAAAGCGUGGGGAGCAAACAGGAUUAGAAACCCCCGUAGUCC